GUGGUUUUAAUAUGCAGCUAGGAUUGCAAUCAAGAGGACAAGUAACUAAGAUUCAUGUGUUCUACUUUACUUUCAAAGGAGAGCAGAAGCCUGGAGUCGAGGCCCAGGGUCCUGGCCUGCUGCUGUGGACGGAAACUGACACAUGGCAAAUAUGUAACGGUCCUUAUCGAUAGUUGGAACAGAACAGAAGAAAACAAAACCUGUGAUUCCCAUAGCCUGAACUCGGCCUGUUAAGCGAAAGUAUCAAGUGUUCUCCCUGCCCAGUAAGAUGAGGAUUUUAAUAAACGGAACAAGUCAACUAACAA